ACGAAACUCCGGAGAAGCUCUUAUGAGUGCCGAAGGUGCAAACGCGAGGAUUUACCGAGCGCUAAUCUCUCAGGCAAAAGGACGGAGAUG
rnacentral:ncRNA from 1 species